AGAGAGAGACAUGCGCGCAUAUCAAUAAGCGGAGGAAAAGGAACUAACUAGGAUUCCCUCAGUAACGGCGAGUGAAGCGGGAAGAGCUCAAAUUUGAAAUCUUCAAGGUUCUACCUUGACGAAUUGUAGUUUAAAGAAGUGUUUUCUGUUGGAGUUUUGGUAAAAGUUCUUUGGAAUAGGACAUCAUAGAGGGUGAGAAUCCCGUAUUUGACCAUUACUUUCCAACUUUGUGAUACACUUUCAAAGAGUCGGAUUGUUUGGGAAUGCAGUCCGAAAUGGGUGGUAAAUUUCAUCUAAAGCUAAAUAUUGGCGAGAGACCGAUAGCGAACAAGUACCGUGAGGGAAAGAUGAAAAGAACUUUGAAAAGAGAGUUAAACAGUACGUGAAAUUGUCAAAAGGGAAGCGUUUGACACCAGUGUUGUUUUCUCGAAAAUCAAUUAAAAAGAGUUAGGAUUUUGUUGUGUAUUGACCUUAUCAGCUUCUGCAUUUCAUUUUCUUGUCUUUUUUAAUGCACUUUUCGUUUAACAAGUCAACAUCAGUUUCUUUUGUUGUAAAAAGGUCAUUGGAAGGUGGCUUUCUUUUCGGAGAAAGUGUUUAUAGCCUUUGGCCUCUGCAAUCGGAGAGAUUGAGGUCUGCAGCGUAGAUCCUUCGGGGUUAGAUACAUUUGUGCUAAGUUAUAGCCUUUCAUAGACAACUUGUUGACUAUGAUCAGUCAAUGUAGCUUACUCGCUUAUGCUAUUUUACCUACGCUUAGGAUGUUGAUGUGAUACUGCGAGCA
rnacentral:rRNA from 1 species